rnacentral:rRNA from 1 species
UACGAAGGGGGCUAGCGUUGCUCGGAAUUACUGGGCGUAAAGCGCACGUAGGCGGUCUUUUAAGUCGGGGGUGAAAUCCUGGAGCUCAACUCCAGAACUGCCUCGAUACUGGAAGACUCGAGUCCGGGAGAGGUGAGUGGAACUGCGAGUGUAGAGGUGAAAUUCGUAGAUAUUCGCAAGAACACCAGUGGCGAAGGCGGCUCACUGGCCCGGUACUCGACGCUGAGGUGCGAAAGCGUGGGGAGCAAACAGGGA